GAUGAACGCUAGCUACAGGCUUAACACAUGCAAGUCGAGGGGCAGCAUGGUCUUAGCUUGCUAAGGCCGAUGGCGACCGGCGCACGGGUGAGUAACACGUAUCCAACCUGCCGUCUACUCUUGGACAGCCUUCUGAAAGGAAGAUUAAUACAAGAUGGCAUCAUGAGUCCGCAUGUUCACAUGAUUAAAGGUAUUCCGGUAGACGAUGGGGAUGCGUUCCAUUAGAUAGUAGGCGGGGUAACGGCCCACCUAGUCUUCGAUGGAUAGGGGUUCUGAGAGGAAGGUCCCCCACAUUGGAACUGAGACACGGUCCAAACUCCUACGGGAGGCAGCAGUGAGGAAUAUUGGUCAAGGGGCGAGAGCCUGAACCAGCCAAGUAGCGUGAAGGAUGACUGCCCUAUGGGUUGUAAACUUCUUUUAUAAAGGAAUAAAGUCGGGUAGGGAUACCCGUUUGCAUGUACUUUAUGAAUAAGGAUCGGCUAACUCCGUG
rnacentral:rRNA from 1 species